CCUACGGGAGGCAGCAGUGAGGAAUAUUGGUCAAUGGGAGAGAUCCUGAACCAGCCAAGCCGCGUGAGGGAAGACGGCCCUAUGGGUUGUAAACCUCUUUUGUCGGAGAACAAAACCCGGGACGUGUCCCGGACUGCGUGUAUCCGAAGAAAAAGCAUCGGCUAACUCCGUGCCAGCAGCCGCGGUAAUACGGAGGAUGCGAGCGUUAUCCGGAUUUAUUGGGUUUAAAGGGUGCGUAGGCGGUCCGUUAAGUCAGCGGGAAAAUUGCGGGGCUCAACCCCGUCGAGCCGUUGAAACUGGCAGACUUGAGUUGGCGAGAAGGAAGCGGAAUGCGCGGUGUAGCGGUGAAAUGCAUAGAUAUCGCGCAGAACUCCGAUUGCGAAGGCAGCGUACCGGCGCCAGACUGACGCUGAGGCACGAAAGCGUGGGGAUCGAACAGGAUUAGAUACCCGUGUAGUC
rnacentral:rRNA from 1 species